GGUAAAACUUUUACCUGAACACAAUGCCGAAUUCAUUUGUCAUGCGAUAUUAAUAAUAGCCCUAGCUGUCUUUGUUACUGGUAAAUAGUCCUAUCUUAAUCACAUAGUUGUAGUGCAUUCUUUAUAUAAAUAGCAUGUCUGGUACUGUUACAUGAGUUCCUAUCAUAUUUGUCACUCUUUUAGCCAUAAUAUCUAAUUUCUAUCCUAACCAACCUAACUUGUAAGCUUUUCACAAGAGAAGGUAGUAGUGUAGUGAAUACAUAUGCAUUAUAUGAUGUACGUUACGGCAUUUUCAAAUUUUGUUUGUCUGGUGGAUCACAUAAUUCUGCACCCACCGGGCGUUUUUCCUCGAGUCUAAAACGACUAACAAGGUGUUGCAGUAUGUUGAAGGAAAUAAGCUUACACAUAGGAAUGUGCUCGUACUCAAAGAAGUUGUUGGGAAGGA